CGAACCUGUGACUCCUGAGUAACCAGCUACAUGGUUGAGGUAGUAAAAAUGUCGAACCUGUGACUCCUGAGUAACCAGCUACAUGGUUGAGGUAGUAAAAAUGUCGAACCUGUGACUCCUGAGUAACCAGCUACAUGAUUGAGGUAGUAAAAAUGUUGAACCUGUGACUCCUGAGUAACCAGCUACAUGGUUGAGGUAGUAAAAAUGUCGAACCUGUGACUCCUGAGUAACCAGCUACAUGGUUGAGGUAGUAAAAUGUUGAACCUGUGACACCUAAGUAACCAACUACAUGGUUGAGGUAGUAAAGUGUUUAACCUGUGACUCCUGAGUAACCAGCAACAUGGUUGAGGUAGUAAAAAUGUUGAACCUGUGACUCCUGAGUAACCAGCUACAUGGUUGAGGUUGUAAAAAUGUUGAUCCUGUGACUCCUGAGUAACCAGCUACAUAGUUGAGGUAGUAAAAAUGUUGAACCUGUAACUCCUGAGUAACCAGCUACAUGGUUGAGGUAGUAAAAUGUUGAACCUGUGACUCCUGAGUAACCAGCUACAUGGUUGAGGUAGUAAAAUGUUGAACCUGUGACUCCUGAGUAACCAGCUACAUGGUUGAGGUAGUAAAAUGUUGAACUUGCCACACCUGAGUAACCAGCUA